GUUUUUAUAGUUUAAAUAUAAAACAUUGGUUUUGUAAACCAAAAUUAAUAAUAAUGAUAAUUUAAAAACU
rnacentral:tRNA from 1 species